rnacentral:rRNA from 1 species
GACGAACGCUGGCGGCGUGCCUAAUACAUGCAAGUAGAACGCUGAAGAGAGGAGCUUGCUCUUCUUGGAUGAGUUGCGAACGGGUGAGUAACGCGUAGGUAACCUGCCUGGUAGCGGGGGAUAACUAUUGGAAACGAUAGCUAAUACCGCAUAAAAUUGAUUAUUGCAUGAUAAUUAAUUGAAAGAUGCAACUGCAUCACUACCAGAUGGACCUGCGUUGUAUUAGCUAGUUGGUGAGGUAACGGCUCACCAAGGCGACGAUACAUAGCCGACCUGAGAGGGUGAUCGGCCACACUGGGACUGAGACACGGCCCAGACUCCUACGGGAGGCAGCAGUAGGGAAUCUUCGGAAAUGGGGGGAACCCUGACCGAGCAACGCCGCGUGAGUGAAGAAGGUUUUCGGAUCGUAAAGCUCUGUUGUAAGAGAAGAACGGGUGUGAGAGUGGAAAGUUCACACUGUGACGGUAUCUUACCAGAAAGGGACGGCUAACUACGUG